CUCAUGUCCCGCACAGCUCAUUUUCAGAAAGUAACUCGUAUAAGGCGACCAUACGCACAGGCACCAUGGCUGAUUUGGAACGCCACGCAUCACCGAACGAGGACCGAUGGAUUGAUCUAACUAUUGAUCUAUUUUUUUGCUAGGCCUGCAGAGAAAAAAAAAAAACAUGAGACAGCUGGUCACUCCCUCAGUAGACUUGCAAUGUGCUUGUUGGGUCAUCUGAACGAAGACAGUCAUGCUAGGCUCGUCUGCAGGGGAUCAAUGGACGCAAUACUUAUUACGCUUGCUGCAACACAAUGAGUAAUGUUCGGGCCUUAGGGUAACUAUCUCAGAAUCAGACAGAAGUUCGGUCGGGAAUCCUGCAAGUCCACGUAGCCUAAGCAUCUCUUGUGUCUUGUAGACACUUAUUGCUGCCGUCUAACGUUUUCAAAUCAUGAUGAAAAUUCAUGGAAAUACAUCAAUUGCUUGUACAGUACGAGUACAAUAUUCUAAACUCGUUACAGAGGCUGGCCGCCAUUCAAAUACUGUUUGCCCCUACUAUGUAUCAGUAACGUCUCGCUUGCAUAUUAUUAAGCACUGGACUCACAGAUCAGUCAGUUGGCCAGUAGCGUCCAUCAAACGGUUAGUCUCUGCUACUCCAUAUAGCAAAUUUGGGAUGACAUACACGAUCCAGGACUGUUUCUCCAUCCAUGAAGUCGUCUUUUGCAUGAAGGUGCUGACAUCAGCUGCGCUAGGAUUGGAAUUUGUCCCAAAGCUCUUGUAUCUUUGACCAACGGUAACCCAAAAGUCUUUUGAAAUGCCGAUACAGUGGACAUAAAGUCAUCUGGAUCUGUAGUAUAUAAGUGCAUCGCCACGUAGUCCGGCUUGUACGGGCAGUCACCCCAUCCAUCCUUUGCGGAGUAUGGAGGAGGGCAAAUGGUAGUGAAAAAGGUAGAAAGCCAAGUUUGAUCGAAUGCCAUCACUGGGGAUUGAACUUUGAUUGAAGGGUGUCAAGAAAUUUGUGUGUGAUACUUACAUUCCGGCUGCGGUGACGGGAUCGAUGUGCGAGGAGACUCCAUUGUCCGUUUGCAAAUCUAUCCACUGUCAAUUCACAUUACACUACAGAUACUUUUUGAUUCACCUGGUUCGUUGUAUCCCAUAACCUCGGUAAAUCCUUUUUGCAAAGUGUCAGAGUUGUCGAGGAAAUUUUUGUCGAAGCUUUGAAGCAUUAGCUAAUAUCAUCAACCAUCAUACUUGGGAGACAUACAGCAUAGGUAUGAACUCCCCUGAAACGUUGACACCAUAAGCAUUGAGGAUACCUUGGUUCCAAUUCUUGUUCCAGUCAAACCACCAAGAAACGGUCUGUUAUCAGAAGUGAAAAAUUGCGCUAUUGGUGACGCAUCCUUCUCUUGUAUAGGCCAGCUAACACCCAUCUUGGAGAAUGAGUUUCCAGUUCUUGUAGCCGAGACGGCCGAUGACGCCUUGCUUGAAGAUACUACCUUGGCCUUUGUUGACAUUAGCUGUCCCGUUGCGGCAGCAGCGUUGGAUACCUGCGCCGCCGAAGUUGCAACUUUGGCGGACGCUGCUGGUAACUUGGAUGAGCUGCUAUUUUCAGCUAGGUGUGCGCUAGUAACUGCUUGUGCUGCGGACGUGACUCGGAUACGGGCCGUCGUAUUGGGUACUUUCGAUAUUGGUACUGAACUGCCAGAGUAAGAGGAAGACCAGCUAUGCGAUUUUGAGGUGGCUGCAAGGAAGCCGAAGCUAUUCGAUUGUCCCGAGUCCCGCGUUGAAGACGGUUCUUGAUCUGUCUUAGAAGCAGAUGUUGGCAACUGAGCAUAUACGAAAGACGCAUUCGGCUCAGAUGAGGUCGUAACGGCUGCAGUUGUCCCUCGAAUACAAGCCGGGACUGCUCGCGCCGAAGAGCAAAAGAUGAGCAAGCGUCACAGAUUGAGUAAAAGUCUUGUAUGACCAGCACGCUCAGGAUUUGUGAUGAGGGAUGUCGAAGAAGGAGAAAUAAAAUGGUGACUAGCACGCUCUUAAAAGGACAUUGAUGAUAAAUCGUGGUAACCGCCAACUGUCUACAAGUCAAACUCACGCAGGA
rnacentral:sRNA from 1 species